GAUCAACGCUGGCGGCGUGCCUAAUGCAUGCAAGUCGCACGGACGGUCUUCGGACCGCCAGUGGCGAACGGCUGAGGAACACGUGCGUACCUGCCUGUUCGUGGGGAAUACCGGGUGGAAACACCCGCUAAUACCGCGUACGCUCACCUUGGUGAGGAAAGCCUUCGGGCGCGGACAGUGGGGCGCGCGGCCCAUCAGGUCGAUGGUGUGGUAACGGCGCACCAUGCCGAUGACGGGUCACUGGUCUGAGAGGACGGCCAGCCAGACUGGGACUGCGACACGGCCCAGACACCUACGGGUGGCAGCAGCAAGGAAUCUUCCGCAAUGGGCGCAAGCCUGACGGAGCAACGCCGCGUGGAGGACGACGGCUUUCGGGUUGUAAACUCCUUUUCCCAGGGACGAAACGGACGGUACCUGGGGAAUCAGCCCCGGCUAACUCUGUGC
rnacentral:rRNA from 1 species